CUUACUUUUGCCGGCGCGUUUCGUUGCGCCGGCAAAAGUGAAAAAACGCGCCGGCAAAAGUCGAGAUAAUUAAAACGGCAUCGUUUUACUUUAGGGUUUACUUAAACACUUUUGCCGGCGCAUUUUUAGACUUUUGCCGGCGCAACGAAACGCGCCGGCAAAAGUCUUAACGAUAUAUCUCAGCCGCAGCCUCCUUCUUCCCCAUUUCUGUUCUGAGUUUGUAAGCAAAGCUCUCUCUCUCUCCUCUGUGAUAGUCUCCGACCACCGGUGUCCCAUAAUCCCACGCCGUGGCUCAAGUUAUAUAUUGAAGCAUCUCUCAAGGUGUGUUGUAACUCUCUCGGUGAAACAAAUGCAAAGAAUGGCCGAAACAAGUAAUGACACAGGUGGUGGCUCCAAGAGAGGCAGGGGAGCUUAUUACGGUGCCAAUAUCGAGAAGGAGCUGGCCAUCAAAAAAGUUACUCAUUUGAAAGUAGAGUUUGAUAAAGAAACUGGAAAAGCUAUUCAAAAGUACGGCAAGUGGUUCAACAAUUCUAUGGCUCGUUAUUUGCGUAGCA